rnacentral:lncRNA from 1 species
UUGCUAGAUGGUCACUUCGAUUGGUAUAAAAAUUUAUUUCUGUACUACCGACUUAGAUUCGGACCUAUGAGGUCACACACAUUAGAGUUCAUGAUCCGAUCGGAUGGUUGAUCAACGAUUAAGAAUCAUUCUAGGGUUAAAUGAUCAAUACGAUUGACAUUUAACCCAGUGCAAAUGUUGCAGGAGGAUCGAUUAGCAAUUCGAUUGCUAAUUGGCUUAAUUUGAUUAAGCCAAUGGGCUGAGAUUAAGUCU